rnacentral:rRNA from 1 species
AUUGAACGCUGGCGGCAGGCCUAACACAUGCAAGUCGAGCGGAUGAAGGGAGCUUGCUCCUGGAUUCAGCGGCGGACGGGUGAGUAAUGCCUAGGAAUCUGCCUGGUCGUGGGGGAUAACGUCCGGAAACGGGCGCUAAUACCGCAUACGUCCUGAGGGAGAAAGUGGGGGAUCUUCGGACCUCACGCUAUCAGAUGAGCCUAGGUCGGAUUAGCUAGUUGGUGGGGUAAAGGCCUACCAAGGCGACGAUCCGUAACUGGUCUGGGAGGAUGAUCAGUCACACUGGAACUGAGACACGGUCCAGACUCCUACGGGAGGCAGCAGUGGGGAAUAUUGGACAAUGGGCGAAAGCCUGAUCCAGCCAUGCCGCGUGUGUGAAGAAGGUCUUCGGAUUGUAAAGCACUUUAAGUUGGGAGGAAGGGCAGUAAGUUAAUACCUGGCUGUUUUGACGUUACCAACAGAAUAAGCACCGGCUAACUUCGUG